GUUCCAGAAUAAUCGGCUAGACUUUGUAAACUUGAACUCUAAUUGGUGUUGGUUUGAGGUUUUGUUUUUAUCUUGUUUUUUAGGGUGAAAUCAGAAAUUUUUAUUAAUGGUGCCUUAAACUUUAAGAUUUGGUGAAUGAAUCAGAUUAGUACCUGAUUAAACAAAAGUUAAAAGAGCAGGAGUAAAGUUAUGUUUAAACUGAAAGAGUAUUGGCAGGUUUUUAAAUUAUCUUUGGAGGUUGAGUAGUAAUUGAGAGCCCUCAUUAACAACUUUUACUAUAGGCGCAUGUAUGAUCGUUUAUUUUAUUCUUAAGGAUUGCAAUUUUAGAUGGGUCUCUGUUAAAAUAGAUAGAUAUUUGGUGUAUGUAAAAGAUUUAAUUUGACCUACAGUAUAUUAUUUUGUGGAUACCUCUCUAGUAGGGGGUUGAAAGUGUAAAAGACAGUAAGUUUUUUUUUUAUGUAAGACUGAAGUUUAUUUAAAAACGGUACAAAUCAUCCAUCAAUUGCCUUCA
rnacentral:rRNA from 1 species